GAGUUCACCUGUGAAUCCCAAAUCUUUCCCCAGUGGAACAACAGAAAGCCAGUGAUGGCGAAACUCAAGUGGGGAACGAAGUGUAAGGGGUAUCUGUAGAUGGUGAUAUAAACAUGCAGCUUGCAAAUACAGAAUACAGAGAUGGGGCGUUUUCUGUAUAUCUAGGUGAAGUUUCAAUAUGGUAUAAUAAUGUCCUUUAUAUUAGAGGUGUUAAAGAGGAAGAUGGGGAAAUGAGAGAUUAA
rnacentral:lncRNA from 1 species